rnacentral:rRNA from 1 species
AAAAGGCGGCGUAAGCUGUCGCUAAAGGAUGGACCCGCGGUGCAUUAGCUAGUUGGUAAGGUAACGGCUUACCAAGGCGACGAUGCAUAGCCGAGUUGAGAGACUGAUCGGCCACAUUGGGACUGAGACACGGCCCAAACUCCUACGGGAGGCAGCAGUAGGGAAUCUUCCACAAUGGGCGAAAGCCUGAUGGAGCAACGCCGCGUGAGUGAAGAAGGUUUUCGGAUCGUAAAGCUCUGUUGUUGGUGAAGAAGGAUAGAGGUAGUAACUGGCCCCUAUUUGACGGUAAUCAACCAGAAAGUCACGGCUAACUACGUGCCAGCAGCCGCGGUAAUACGUAGGUGGCAAGCGUUGUCCGGAUUUAUUGGGCGUAAAGCGAGCGCAGGCGGAAAGAUAAGUCUGAUGUGGAAGCCCCCGGCUUAACCGAGGAAUUGCAUCAGAAACUGUGUUUCUUGAGUGCAGAAGAGGAGAGUGGAACUCCAUGUGUAGCGGUGGAAUGCGUAGAUAUAUGGAAGAACACCAGUGGCGAAGGCGGCUCUCUGGUCUGUAACUGACGCUGAGGCUCGAAAGCAUGGGUAGCGAACAGGAUUAGAUACCCUGGUAGUCCAUGCCGUAAACGAUGAGUGCUAAGUGUUGGGAGGUUUCCGCCUCUCA